rnacentral:rRNA from 1 species
CCUACGGGUGGCAGCAGUAGGGAAUCUUCCACAAUGGGCGAAAGCCUGAUGGAGCAACGCCGCGUGGGUGAAGAAGGUCUUCGGAUCGUAAAACCCUGUUGUUAGAGAAGUAAGUGCGUGAGAGUAACUGUUCACGUUUCGACGGUAUCUAACCAGAAAGCCACGGCUAACUACGUGCCAGCAGCCGCGGUAAUACGUAGGUGGCAAGCGUUAUCCGGAUUUAUUGGGCGUAAAGGGAACGCAGGCGGUCUUUUAAGUCUGAUGUGAAAGCCUUCGGCUUAACCGGAGUAGUGCAUUGGAGACUGGGAGACGUGAGUGCAGAAGAGGAGAGUGGAACUCCAUGUGUAGCGGUGAAAUGCGUAGAUAUAUGGAAGAACACCAGUGGCGAAGGCGGCUCUCUGGUCUGUAACUGACGCUGAGGUUCGAAAGCGUGGGUAGCAAACAGGAUUAGAUACCCCGGUAGUC